UAUUUUUUUCGGGUACUUGUACUUUUUUGAGUAUAUUUUUAAAGCUGUACUUUUACUUGUACCUAAGUACAAAUUAAGCUAAAUCUACUUCGUUAUUUUUAAAUCAUAGUUCGUUACUGAGUACACCUACAAUUUGAAUUGAUAUUCAAACUUUUGAAGGCACUUCAGCAGCCAAUAAAAAUAUCCGAUCGUAAAGGGACCAAUAACAGCGCUGAUAUCUGAACCAGCGCCGCUGCAGCAGGUGAAGAGCUGAUCAGACAGUGAGGGAGCUCAGCGUGAUUUAUGGACUCAAAGCUUGAAGAAACAAACUACAUGUAUCUACCGAAUAUUCACCGAUAAAAUCUGCGUCUCUCCUCUCCGACAGAGAGUUUGACAAUCAUCCGUCUACCGUCAAUUACAGAGUCUGAAAGUCUGCGUGGGAUUGCAGCAUCCAUCUUCAGGAUUCGGCCAUAGGUGGAGAUAAUCACGCCCCUUAUCAUGGCUGAGGAUGUUGUUGGAGUGGACAGUCUCUAACCACUGGUCAGAGAUGUACUGGAUGGUGCGUCGUGCCCACUCCUCACUGUGGACUUCCUCUACUGCUGACUGGAAGUAGGAGGAACUGUUACCACUGGUCCUUGGCCUGAGGAAAGUCACACAUUUCCUGUCCAGGGUCAGCACCGCUGGAAACUUGGUCCUGUGUGCCACAUCCAGUUGUGAAAGGAUGUCCUGGCUCCAUGGGCAUACUGGCAACCUGCAUGCACUGCAGAGUGAUAGUACCCACCCACAAGGUAAUAGCGGCUAUCCAUGUUGAUCACCUCCCUGACCUUCGGGUAGAUUCCUGAAUGCUGCAUCAUCUGGCCACACUGUGGGCAUUUCAGAGGAAUGCCCCACAUCCUCAUUGGUGUGGAUGUAUAUAAAUAAAGACUCACAUCAAAUAUACAAAAGCAGACAUGUUGAGUGGUGAAAUAUGUUUUAGGUUAAUAGUUUUCUGCAGUAAAUAUGUUCCUACUUGCAAAAAAUUGCAAAUAGCUUUUGAUGUAUAAUUAUAAAAACUGUUUUUAUAUAAAGUAAGAAAGGG
ensembl:lncRNA